AGGAGCCGUAUGAAUGGAGACAUUCACGUACGGUUUUGGAGUAGCAGGAUAUAUGGUAACAUGUACUUGACUAUAAG
rfam:Pylaiella littoralis mitochondrial group IIB intron (Scotld/LST-intron-4), complete sequence.